rnacentral:rRNA from 1 species
UACGUAGGUGGCAAGCGUUGUCCGGAUUUACUGGGCGUAAAGAGCGCGCAGGCGGUCGUUCAAGUCGCGUGUGAAAGCCCCCGGCUCAACUGGGGAGGGUCACGCGAUACUGAUCGACUGGAAGGCAGGAGAGGGUAGUGGAAUUCCCGGUGUAGUGGUGAAAUGCGUAGAUAUCGUAAGGAAGACCAGUGGCGAAGGCGAGUCUCUGGACAGCAACUGACGCUGAGGCACGAAGGCCAGGGGAGCAAACGGG